CCCAGACUCCUACGGGAGGCAGCAGUGGGGAAUAUUGCACAAUGGGGGAAACCCUGAUGCAGCGACGCCGCGUGAGUGAAGAAGUAUUUCGGUGUGUAAAGCUCUAUCAGCAGGGAAGAAAAUGACGGUACCUGACUAAGAAGCCCCGGCUAACUACGUGCCAGCAGCCGCGGUAAUACGUAGGGGGCAAGCGUUAUCCGGAUUUACUGGGUGUAAAGGGAGCGUAGACGGUUCUGCAAGCCAGAUGUGAAAGCCCGGGGCUCAACCCCGGGACUGCAUUUGGAACUGUAAGGCUAGAGUGUCGGAGAGGCAGGCGGAAUUCCUAGUGUAGCGGUGAAAUGCGUAGAUAUUAGGAGGAACACCAGUGGCGAAGGCGGCCUGCUGGACGAUGACUGACGUUGAGGCUCGAAAGCGUGGGGAGCGAACAGGAUUAGAUACCCCCGUACGC
rnacentral:rRNA from 1 species